rfam:Succinatimonas sp. CAG:777 genomic scaffold, scf33
UUUCGGUCCUCACGUACUCGAUGAGGGUUCAACAGGUCAGGUCCGGAAGGAAGCAGCCAGGGUUCUUAUUCGAGGUACCGUGAUGUGGUUGAGACCC